UUUCCGUAGGUGAACCUGCGGAAGGAUCAUUACAAAUCCAUCCUGGAAUGGGUGGGGGCAUGCGUGCGUGUCCCCAUCCAUUCCAUAUUCACACACCACGUUGAAUUGUUCCAGGGGAGGCCCAAUGAUUGAUAUUGGUAUCGAUAUCGAUAUCGUAUCAUUGAGCCCCCCUGGUCGUGUUUAUCACAAACUGUUCCACCUCAGUUGCUUCAUGGAGGAAGGGGGCGAGAGGGAGAGGGGAAGGGGGGAGAGAGGACAAGGGAGCCGCCGCCGCGGUCUCCCGUCCUGCCGACCACCUACCCCACCUACCACCACCACCUACCACCACCAAAAACAAAAACACACAACCUAGAACAACUUAUAACAAUGGAUCUCUAGGCUCUU
rnacentral:misc_RNA from 1 species